rnacentral:tRNA from 2 species
GCCGCGGCCUCGGCGACGCCGGCGAUGUUGGCGGCGAUCUCGUUGCUGAAAGUCGCCGCGUCGGCGACGUUGCGGUUCAUCUCCCCGGUGGUGGCG